GUUAAUACUGUUAUUAUUAUCCACUCUAUAUCUGUGUUUUUCUGGCUAAAUAAACUGUUACAAUUCAAUUCAAUGACCACCUCUAGUGGGCGGCCAUUAGGUUAAUUUUGAGUCAAGUUUAAGCAAUAACUAAUCUUGACAUUUGUUUUUUAUACCUGAUGUUACACAACUGCUUGUAUACUUAACACUAACACUUUUACACUAAACCACAUUCAAAUAUUUAUACAAAACACACACACACUUUUAAACAAACACAAGUGCAUAUAAACACACACUUUCAGAGGAAUACACGAUUGUGUAUUUUAAAUCUAUAUUCUUAAUCAGCAUAUAAAAGAGCAUCUUUGUAUGAAAUUUAAACAAAAUCUAUGCCAUGCCCUCAUGUACUCAAACACAAGAUAAGGGGUCAGCAAUUUUGAUUGGGAAUACUGUUACUGGAUGUUUUCUUUUCUGGAAAGUGAACGAUAAAAUGCUUAAAUUAUAAAGUUAGCCGAUAUUCUUGAGAAAAGGCAUAUAAAGAGGAUUUAUAAUUUACGGGCACAGCGUAAUUUAUGUUUUAAAUACUACAGUACUGUACAGUACAUGAACACAAGCAUUAGACAACAUGAUGUUAAGUAACAGAAUACCUGUAUAAGUCUCACCUCCCACAGGUCAGAGGUGUUUCAUCAGUUGCUGUUGAUGGCAUCACAAAUGAGCCUGUCCCACAGGUCAGAGGUGUUUCAUCAGUUUGUAUAGUCGAGUCUUAGCUUGUCAUACCGAGAUGUGUUGUUGGUCCUUGAAACUUCCUGGAAAUAAGA